AGUUAGAAAGAGAACCGACUGCCAAGAUGGAGCGAAGGGAACAUUUAACCUUGACUUUCCACAGUCCUGAGGUUCCCAAGAUAAAGGGGAACCGGAAAUACCAAAGGAUUAUCUCCAAUAUUCCAGGGCCUUCUUUCUCAUCUCUGUCUUUACCAUACUCAUUGGCCUUGGCUGGCUCUUCAGCUCUUGGCUCCCUAGUCGAGGAAGCAUGACCACCAACUUGGAUCUGAAGGUAUCCAUGUUCAGCUUCAUCUCAGGCAUCAUCUCUCUUCUCAACUACUUAACUUCCAGAUCUCCUCCCCGUGAUGAAAACGUCACUGUGAUUCCAACAGAGAGAUCAAGGCUGGGGGUUGGUCCAGUGACUACAGUAUCACCUGCCAAAGAUGAAGAAGAGCCAAGGUCUGAGAUGGAAUCUCUAAGUGUGAGAAAGAAAAAUUUACCAGAGGCAGGACUGUGAUGGUGAUAGGAAAACCUAACUAUAGCUUGUCUUAAAAGCAGGGGAGAAGCUGAGUUGGGAAUGAUCGCAUAAAUUCUUGGAAACCCUCCUAAUAUCAUGUCCAUAUCACUGAAGGAGACAACAUUAAAGCUGAUGAAAUGUCUUUUGCGUGCAUUGGAUCCAAAAUAUGUAUGAUAGUAAUAAAGUAAGUAAUAACUCACUUAAGAAAAGCAUUUCUAAAAGAAAACAACAAUGUUUAGAGUCAUGAAUGAAAGAAACUAGUUAAAGAUGCAGUGUGUAGACCAGAGACUUCUUUGGGUAUGAGGGAUGUCAUGGACCAGAAAGGCCCAUGGAGAAGAACGUUAAUUACUUCUAUUUAGAAUUUUCUUUAUUAUGUGUGGCUUUAGGAUGGCUUUAGGAUGGAAAACUCAGGAUGGAAAGCACUUGGACAAAUACUGUUGAAUCUGAACUUGAUAGCGUUACCAGAAAUGGAAUAAAUAUCAAUGGAUAUAAGACCUA